AUUGAACGCUGGCGGCAUGCUUUACACAUGCAAGUCGAACGGCAGCACGGACUUCGGUCUGGUGGCGAGUGGCGAACGGGUGAGUAAUACAUCGGAACGUGCCCAGUUGUGGGGGAUAACUACUCGAAAGAGUAGCUAAUACCGCAUGAGAACUGAGGUUGAAAGCAGGGGAUCGUAAGACCUUGCGCAACUGGAGCGGCCGAUGGCAGAUUAGGUAGUUGGUGGGAUAAAAGCUUACCAAGCCGACGAUCUGUAGCUGGCCUGAGAGGACGACCAGCCACACUGGGACUGAGACACGGCCCAGACUCCUACGGGAGGCAGCAGUGGGGAAUUUUGGACAAUGGGCGAAAGCCUGAUCCAGCAAUGCCGCGUGCAGGAUGAAGGCCUUCGGGUUGUAAACUGCUUUUGUACGGAACGAAAAGCUUCGGGCUAAUACCCUGGAGUCAUGACGGUACCGCAAGAAUAAGCACCGGCUAACUACGUGCCAGCCGCCGCCGUAAGAC
rnacentral:rRNA from 1 species